AAUAGUGGAUCUGCAGCAGUUCUGUGGACUUUGGCAGAUGCCUGAUGUUAAAACUAUAAUAAAGUCACUAGAUGGCAGAACAAUAAAAUAAAAUAUUAACCAGAGCAAGAUAACAUUUAAAACCAUUUGUUAAAACAGCAUUUAAAAGCAUUUAAAGAACCUGGGCAAAUAAAAAGUUCUUCAUCCAGGAAUGAAAAGACAACAGCAUCAGUGUCAGCAAGCCUUCUUGAGAAAGGUGUACCAGAAACAGUACGCCACCACUGAAAAGACCCUAUCUUGUGGACACCACUUGUCUUGCCUCCGGUGGUAGGAGAACUGAUAGAAGACCUUCUGAUAAUCUCAACAUUCAGGAUAAGAAUGUUCUUCAGAAGCCCAUUGAGUGGAAGUUAUGCAAUUAUCAGCCUACAGCCUUGCGACCCUCAACAGGCCCAAUCUCAUCUAUUCUAUCAUCUAUUUUAUUAUUAUGAUCCACCGAGGAAAUCUGUGAGAGAAAAAAGAAGGGGAAGGUGUGGCAAGAUGUUGGUAAUACAAAAUCAUACAGUUGGAAGCCAUCGAGAGACCCUCCAGUUGCCUGACUAAACCUGUCCACAGAGCGCAGGUGCACAAUCAAAACCGUGCUGUAGUUCCAACUUUCUGUUUGACUGGUAGGUGCAGUUGAUGAAGGCUUUUCUGGAAUGGCCUUACUUUCAUGUCCUCAUUCCAUGCCAAAGGACACUUAAGCUGCCUGGCACUUACCCUGAACCAGCAUUCAGUCUCCAACAGUGGUCAGCCAGAAGUCCAGUCCUAUGAGCAUGAGGAAGGGCAAUAGCUCAGUGAUAGAGAACAUACUUCACAUCCAAAAGAUUUCAGAUUCAAUCCAUGACAUGUUAACAUAGGGCUGAGAGAUCUGCCUGACACCUGGAGAGCACCUGCCGAACAGUGUAGAUC